rnacentral:misc_RNA from 1 species
GAUGAAGAACGCAGCGAAAUGUGAUAAGUAAUGUGAAUUGCAGAAUUCAGUGAAUCAUCGAGUCUUUGAACGCACAUUGCGCCCCCUGGUAUUCCGGGGGGCAUGCCUGUCCGAGCGUCAUUGCUGCCCUCAAGCACGGCUUGUGUGUUGGGCCUCCGCCCUCCUCCCGGGGGACGGGCCCGAAAGGCAGCGGCGGCACCGCGUCCGGUCCUCGAGCGUAUGGGGCUUCGUCACCCGCUCUUGUAGGCCCGGCCGGCGCUUGCCGACACAUCAAUCUUUUUUCCAGGUUGACCUCGGAUCAGGUAGGGAUACCCGCUGAACUUAAGCAUAUCAAUAAGCGGAGGA